CUGGCGGCGUGCUUCAUACAUGCAAGUCGAACGAGAAGCUGACUUCGGUCAGUGGAAAGUGGCGGACGGGUGAGUAACACGUAGGAAAUCUGCCCUUUGGAGGGGGACAACAGUUGGAAACGACUGCUAAUACCCCAUAUGAGCUAAGCUGAAAUGCUUAUCUUGAAAAACUCCGGUGCCAAAGGAUGAGCCUGCGCCUGAUUAGCUAGUUGGCGGUGUAAUGGACUACCAAGGCGACGAUCAGUAGCUGGUUUGAGAGGAUGAUCAGCCACAAUGGGACUGAGACACGGCCCAUACUCCUACGGGAGGCAGCAGUAGGGAAUUUUGCGCAAUGGGGGAAACCCUGAACCGCAGCAACGCCGCGUGAUUGAUGAAGCCCUUCGGGGUGUAAAGAUCUGUCAGUAGGGACGAAUUUUGACGGUACCUACAGAGGAAGCACCGGCUAACUCCGUGCCAGCAGCCGC
rnacentral:rRNA from 1 species